GACGAACGCUGGCGGCGUGCUUAACACACGCCAGUCGUGCGGAAAGGCCCUUCGGGGUGCUCGAGCGGCGAACGGGUGAGUAACACGUGAGUGACCGGCCUUUACCUUGGGACACCCCCGGGGAACCGGGGCUAAUAACCGAUAGGACCUGCUGGUGACUGCCGGGGGGUGGAAAGCCGGAAGGCGGUCAGGGGAUGGGCGCGCGGCCUAUCAGCUUGUUUGUGGGGUGAUGGCCUACCAAGGCGACGACGGGGAGCCGGCCUGAGAGGGCGACCGGCCACACUGGGACUGAGACACGGCCCAGACUCCGACGGGAGGCAGCAGUGGGGAAUAUUGCACAAUGGGCGCAAGCCUGAUGCAGCGACGCCGCGUGAGGGAUGACGGCCUUCGGGUUGUAAACCUCUUUCAGCAGGGACGAAGCGCAAGUGACGGUACCUGCAGAAGAAGCGCCGGCCAACUACGUGCCAGCCGCCGCGGUAACAC
rnacentral:rRNA from 1 species